UACGUAGGGGGCAAGCGUUGUCCGGAUUUAUUGGGCGUAAAGCGCGUGUAGGCGGCCUCACAGGUCCGUUGUGAAAACUGGAGGCUUAACCUUCAGACGUCGAUGGAAACCGUGCGGCUAGAGUCCGGAAGAGGAGAAUGGAAUUCCUGGUGUAGCGGUGAAAUGCGCAGAUAUCAGGAAGAACACCCGUGGCGAAAGCGGAUCUCUGGAACGGUACUGACGCUGAGACGCGAAAGCGUGGGGAGCGAACAGG
rnacentral:rRNA from 1 species